UUGAUUUAAUUUUUAUUAAUUUUAUUAUUAAGUUAAUUUUAAUAGAACUAAUUUUGUUUUUAGUAGUUUUUAUUGAAUAAUAUUAUUGUAAUUAUAGUUUAGUUGUACUGUAUAGGUUUAUUUUAUUUCUUUUAGUAUUAUUAUGUAAUAAGUACCUUUUGUAUCAGGGUUUAUUAAUUUUUAAUAAUUAAUUUAUAUUUCCCGAAAUUGGAAGAUAUAAUGUGGUAUGGGGUAUUUUGUUAUAAAACAAUUCUGAAUUCUAUAUUAGGGGUGAUAUGCUUAUCAAUUCUAAAUAUCUGGUUUUUUAAUAAAUUAAUUUAAUUAAGAAUUUUCAUUAGUUACAUAUAUAAUUAUAUUUAUAAUAAUUUGGGAAUUAAAGUUCUUGGGGGAUAAGCUCUGGGGAUGUAUUAUAAUUGUUUCAUAAUAACUAAUUAUUGUAGGAAUAGAAAUUUUCAUCUAUUUAUUUUGUUAUAAUUAUUUUUAUGAGUUUAUUUAUUUUAAUCAAUUUAGUUUUAUAUUAAAAAGAUAUAAUUAAUUUAUAAUUUUAUGUUAUAAUGAUAAAAUUAGUAAAUUAUUAUUUUAGAUUUAGUAAUUCGGCAAUUUUUAUCUUCACCUGUUUAUCAAAAACAUGUCUUGUUGAGUUUUAUAAUAUUAAGUCUAAUCUGCUCAAUGAAUAUAUUUUAAUAGCCAUGGUAUUUUAACCAUGCAAAGGUAGCAUAAUAAUUUGUCUUUUAAUUGGAGGCUUGAAUGAAUGAUUGAAUGAGGGAUAAACUUUCUUAGUCUAAAAUAUUUUGAAUUUAAUUUUUAAGUAAAAAAGCUUAAUUUUAGUUGUGGGACGAGAAGACCCUAUAGAAUUUUAUUAGUAUUUUUAUUUUUAUUUUUAGGUGUAGAAUUAGUUAAUAAGGAUAAGAAUACUAAUUUGAUUGGGGUGAUUGUGGAAUUUAAUGAACUUCCAUUACUAAUUAUUUCAAUAGUUAUUGUGUUUUAGAUCCUUUAUUAUGGAUAAAAAGAUUAAAUUACCUUAGGGAUAACAGCGUAAUUUCUUUGGAGAGUUCUUAUCAAUAAAGGAGUUUGCGACCUCGAUGUUGGAUUAAAGUUAAUUAAUAGUGCAGAAGCUAUUUAAUUGGGUCUGUUCGACCCUUAAAUCUUUACAUGAUCUGAGUUCAGACCGGCGUGAGCCAGGUUGGUUUCUAUCUACAAUUUUAAAAUAUAAUUUAGUACGAAAGGACCAAUUAUAUUUAAUAAUUAAUUUUAUUUAUGAUUAAUAUU
rnacentral:rRNA from 1 species